rnacentral:tRNA from 1 species
GCGGGUGUAGCUCAGUUGGUUAGAGCGUCUGAUUGUGGUUCAGAAGGUCGUGGGUUCGAUCCCCACCACUCGCC